rnacentral:lncRNA from 1 species
AUCACAAUCGAGAUGACCGUAACAGAAUCAGCGAUUCAUAACAAGGCUGACCGUAACUGCUUUUAAGAUGACCGUAAUUUGUAAAUGAUGACCGUAACUUUUAAAGGAUGACCCUCAAUUCUAAGAAAUAUCCGUAAUUAUACAACUAUCUUUUUGUAUGAAAUGAUUGCCAAAAGACAUGCAAAUGAACAGGAAGGGAAAACAUGCCACAAAAGCGCGAAACAAUGAC